rnacentral:lncRNA from 1 species
UGUUGGGAUUGAACCCUAUCAGAGGAACAGAUAAUGAAAAGCCAAAACCGGAUCACAUCAUAGUUUACACCUUGCUUUCCCCUUGACUGUGGCUCAAACAUCUGAUAUGCUCCAAAGUACUGCCUCUAUCAACAUCUGCUGACCUACAACUGCUGUUCAACACAAUGACUGAUGAAGACUAAAAGCCCUGCUGUUCAAUCUGCUGCCUUGAGUCAAGCACUGCUGAUCAUGACAAGUACUGUUGGGUUCACAGCAAUAGAAUGAUGCAGCAGCAGUUUUAUGUUUGUUCUAUGUAAUGUAAUGCAAUAUCAGUAGUUAGCAAAGCAGUAGUUGUAUAGAUCAGUAGAUAGAGUUUGUUAGGUUGUUAGAUGUCACUUUCAUGGUGACGUCAGCUGAGAUGCUUCAGAGGAUUGGAUUGUCUAUAAAUGUAACAGUACUCUGUACUGUUACAUUUGAUCGUUUUGAGUGAGUUCUUCUCCUCAAUUCAAUCCUUUCAUCUUGAACAACCAACCUUGGAGCAUCAGGCUGAGGGGGAGCUUGGUAUU